GCAAAACGUGAUUGGCUGUUUAAACCUCCUCAAGCUUCAUCCUUAUCCAUAUCUCUUCCUUUCUUAGCCUUUAAGUAAUUUUAGAGUAUUCUAAUCUUAUCUAGAUCCUUUCACGUCUUAUCCUCCUUCCAGGAGCUUCCAUACCAAAUUUGGGCUCCAUUCGAUAUGGUUGGGCCGCCUUAGGUCCACAUAAUCCCAUAAGGCCCAAAAUUGCACUUUACGCACAUGCCUUCAUUUCAAACAGCCAUAACUCCUUGAUU
rnacentral:lncRNA from 1 species